UCCCAGUAAAGAAUCAUUCACAUGUUUUGCUUUCUUUUCAAGCCCUCGUGGUACACUUGCUGGUGCUGACUGAGGCAAAAGAUGAAAAUCCUGUUCCAGGAGGAAAUGCCUUAGUGAC